GUCCCUUCCACUGUGUUUGUCAAUAAUGAGUAACUGAUGACAUGUAAGGACUGAGCUACUGGGUCACCAAGAGCAACUCUAUUUUCUAUGCUAAAGGGAUCCCUCUACCUACGGUCACAAUACUGUCUGGUUUGUGGCUGUGGGACUGUGGUAGCAGAGACAGGUGGGCGGGGAGUGACAUCUCAGAGCCAACCCCAGCACAGGAACAGGCAGAAACUACCCACUGGGGCUCCGGAGUUCUAGACUUGUACUCGUCUGGGCCCAGGCUGCCUGAACAGACCACUGCCCCACAACUGGUAAUCCUAGAGAUGUGGUUUUCCAGAAGUAUGCAAAUAUUAAAUGAGAACGGCCUCUAAGCAAUUAAGGGAAACAACAUGGGGGCGGGGAAGCAAGCUGGAUACAUGAAGGGCUCAGCACGAGUUCCCACACGACAGGAACAACAGCACUGGGCUACUCCACACAAGUCUUGUUUCAUUGAAAAUUAAUAUCCAGACUCCAA